GACGAACGCUGGCGGCGCGCCUACACAUGCAAGUUGACGAGCGAGAGAGAGCUUGCUUUCUCGAGCGAGUGGCGAACGGGUGAGUAACGCGUGAGGAACCUGCCUCAAAGAGGGGGACAACAGUUGGAAACGACUGCUAAUACCGCAUAAGCCCACAGGUCGGCAUCGACCAGAGGGAAAAGGAGCAAUCCGCUUUGAGAUGGCCUCGCGUCCGAUUAGCUGGUUGGUGAGGUAACGGCCCACCAAGGCAACGAUCGGUAGCCGGACUGAGAGGUUGAACGGCCACAUUGGGACUGAGACACGGCCCAG
rnacentral:rRNA from 1 species